UCCUUCGGCGCUCCGGAGGCCGAGUCCGCACGAAGAUGGCGGCGCCGCUUGUACCCCUCUCGCAGCAGGUAUGGUGCUGGGGUGCGCCGUGGGGCGGUGCGGACGGUGGUUGCCGCGAGAAAGAUAAGUCGUCGCGGAAGCGCGGCUCCAGGGGACCGCGGAGGCGCGCGCUGAAGGCUCAGAGGCUGAGUGGCGGGGGCCGGGCGGUUCUGAAGGUGACAGGCCGGAGCGGCCCGCAUACUCUUGCGCCGGGCGACCCCCGAGCGGCUGCGAAGAGGUGAUGGGGCGCGGCCGCUGCGUAUGUCUGCUCCGUCUGGGGCCUGGCCAGGUUAAGGGACGGGGGGGGGUUUGGGGGGUGGGCGCUGUUGUUCGAGCCGCGUCGCGCUUCGUCCCCGCGGAGGCGAGCGAGAGCGGUGGGCCCGCCGCCAGUCUUUGUCUCCCGCGGGGUCGGGCGUCGGGGCGGGUGGUGUCCCAUACUGGAGUCGCAAGGGGAACCGGGACACGCCCGCUUCGCCUCUGGCCGCCCAGCCCUCCUUCCCCCGAGAUCCGCUUCCGCUGCUCUGUGCGGUGCGAAAAGCGCGGAUCCUACGCCCCCAACGGUAUGCACCAGUCUUCGUCCUCAGGGUCGCUGGAUGGUUUUCUUGAACGUAUCAAAUGCUACAGGGACGUACAGAAUAGCAGUGAGAAGGCCAUUGUGCUUCUAGCGGAAAACAUUCAUUCAUUCUUCAGCCACUUUCUAACGUGCUUGGGAUCAGGUGCUUGGGAGCUCAGCAGUCUCUCACUGACAAAGUCUCUAGUUCCAGGUGACAUCCAUAAGAAUUAGAAAGUAUUCCUGUCCUGCUAAUUUGCCAAAUUACCCGUUUGUUCCACACAGCAUAUUAUAUGCACUUUGCUAGAAUCGUCUUUCGCAGGGUCAUGGUUACCAGGAGGAAGCAUUUUAUAUUCAGAUCUCGGCUCCAACUCUGGAAGAGUGUCCUUGAAGCAGGCUUCUUAACCUCAGCAUAUCAAUUACCUCAUUUGGAAAAUAGAGAUGUAAAAUGCAUUAGCAGAAAACUGUGGAAAGCACAUUUUGCCUAACACAUUGGAAGCUCUUUUGUUACCCGUCAAUAAAUUCGGGUGUUUGGGACUAAGACAAGAGCAAGUAUGAAUGCCAAAGCUGGUAAGAACUGCUUGGCAGGCUGAUGCACCCAGGUCACCUGGUCUGAAGGAGAGGGCAAUACAGGGUGGUUAAGUCCUGGAAGGACCAGCCACCAGCAGCCUUGACACUAUAUUAACAUGUGGAGACCAGUAGAUAUUAAUUAACAUGCUCUUACAGCACCUGUGAUUGUCUUCUGAAAAUGGUUAAGGACUAGACAGAUAGUAGGGAGUGUAUUGAGGAUAGGUGUGUAUUGAGUUAGAGCCUUGCUAUGUCACCCAGGCUGGCUUCCAAUUCCUGGACUCUCUGCAUCCUCGUGCUCCAGGCUUCCAAGUGGGAUGACAGAGGACCAGCUGUGGGUGUUCACCUCUCUCUUGACAGGUUCUCACUGGCCUGUAGUUCCUCAAUUAGGCCAGCCUGGAAAGUCAGCAAGGCCAGGGAGCCUCCUGUCCCUUCUUCUCCAGCACAAGUGCCGUGCAUCCUGUAGCACUUCUGUGUGAGCUAGCUCUGGGGAGAGAAUUUGGAUCCUCGAGCUUUUAGGGCAAGCAUGUUACUAACUCAGCUGGCUUCAGUCCAGUCAUUACCUCUGACUUUUUUUGAGGGAGGGUUUUUCAAAUUUCCUAAUUUUGACAUUAGUCAUAAUUUGGAUUUUUAAAAAUUUGGGCCAUAGUAGUAGCUGAUAGUUAUUGAGUACAUGGGAGUUGGAUACAUGCUGUCAAUUUUUUCUCAAACACCAGAAUAUCAAGGAAGCGGUUCCUGGCCAAGUAUAAUGUCAACUUUCAGCUAGCACUUCAGUAACAGAAAGUUCUAGCCUGGGCUAUAAAAUGAGGCCCUGUCUGGGGAGGAGGGAUGCUCUAUUUUAUUGGUAAACUAGUUACCGUAGGAUGGCGUUUUGUCAUACUGAGAUGACAGAUACAAAAACAUGAGUCAGUUUCAUUAGAUUCACCUUGUUAGAGCCUCUGGGAUAGAAUCCUGAUUCUCUCUUCCUAACUUGUGACUUGCCUUCCACAUGCUCUCCAUGGCACCAUGGUGUGGUCAGUUCUCUGUUCUUCACAUACCUAGCUGUGUUGUCAGCUAUGGUGGCCCUGAAGACUGAUCCUUCUUUCUGAAGCACUCCAGCCUUUUCUUCUCUGGCUUGGAUCCUUCUCUUCCUUCAGCAGCAGUUCAGAUAUCAUCCUUCCCAGAGGCCUUUGCUAGUCAUGGCACACAGCCAUGUGCACAUCAUAUAAUCCUACAGCUCUCUUGGUCCACAGGACAUGUUUGCGUGUCUGUUGUUUCUGUGUCAGACCUGUUGCCAGUGGAAAGACACUCAGAAAGUGUCACCUAAGUAGGUAUGGGGACUGUGACUGCACCUGCAGCAGCUCCCGUGUGGCCUUUCUUCCCUGUGUGGGAUGGAGCUGUGGGUGGGAACAGGAGCUGAAACAGCAGUUGAGGAGACAUGGCCUGUGGUGGCUCACAAGUUCAGGUGCCUUCUGAGCUGCUUUCCCUCCACCCCCAUGUUUUUGUGGUGAUUCUUUAAAUUUUUUUGUAUUUAUUGAUUUAUUCCUGUGGGGGCCGUUAUGUACCAUGGUGCAUGUGGUAGUCAAAGGACAAUUUUCCUGCAUUGGUACUUUGUGUGAGUUCCAAGUCUUUCUGUGUAGCUCAGGCUGGCCCCAGACUUCUAUUGAUUUUCCUGCCUUAGCCUCUAGAGGACUGUGAUCCCAGAGCAUGCCUGGUUGCUUCCUACCUCCUGGUUAGCAGAAGGCCUGGUCCAGGAGCCCCACACCUGCUUUUAUAAGGGCAGUGUGCUGAGGGUUGGUUCUGGGUUUCACACAUGCUCGGCACUACUCACUAAGCAAUCCUUAUGUUCAUGUGUGCUGAGCGUGUGUGCGGAGGUCAGAGUACUACCUGGGAGUUGGGUCUCUUCUUCUGCCAUGUGGGUCCUGGGCAUCAAAGUAAGAUUGUUAGGCUUGGUGACAAGUGUCCUUGUUCAACCAUCUCAUUGGCACUAAGUUGCCCAAGCUGACCUUGAACUCAUGGCAGUUCUCUUGCCUUGCCGUCCUAAAUGCCGGGGCUACAGAUUUGAAUCACGUGCUCAGCUUCUAUAACUUCCCCUUUUGUCUUAAGAUUUAUUUAUUUACAUUUAUGUGCAUGUGUCUCUCUGAGUUAUUUGUAUCAAGUGUGUGCAGGUGCCCAUGGAGGCAAGAGGAUGUCAGAUCCCCUGGAACAGGACCUUGAUGUGGGUGCUGGGAACUGAACCUAGGUCCUCUGCAAGAGCAGUAAGCACGGCUGAGCCAUUUGUUCAGCAGUCUGUGUUUAUACUUGCUGCUCAGAUAUAGAUGUUACUAUUACCCAGACCCUUAGAGCAAGCCUAACAGCUCACAUAGGAUCACAAGGAAAACAGGGCAUGGAGAGUUCUGGGAUACCAUUUGGCUGAGGUGUGCUGAACAGAAGGCUGUGGUGUGGUUGAGCCCAGCCACAGGAUCAGGGAGAGUCUCUGCUCCUUUUUCUCGGCAGCCCCAGGGGAUGUUUCCUAUUGCCCUCUGUCUGCUCUCUUCUCCCCAAUCCCAUCCUGAACUCCCUUUCACACCAGAUUGCUCAUGAGUGACAGCAGACCUCCAGGCCUGCUUCUCUUCCAGAGGUUCUGUCUGGAACAUAGCCUGAGCCCUUACACACAGCCUCCUCCUGUGCCCACUCACCUUCCUUCUCCUCAGGGUUUUUUGGCUUCCCAUCUCUCUGUCCUUUCUCUCUGCUCUCUGGUCCCAGCCUCCUUGCUCAGUACUCUAAACCUGCCUCCUACAGACUCAGACACUGUCUGCCCUUCUGGGGGCUGCUGGACUCUAGAAUUGGCUACUUUCUGAACUCGGCAGUUCUGCAGGGCACUGGGCCUAGGCACUGUCUGUCAGUCUUGAUUCCUCCCUUUCUUCCUGCUAUCACCGUGGGAUCUUCU
rnacentral:lncRNA from 1 species